rnacentral:rRNA from 1 species
UACAGGGGGGGCAAGCGUUGUUCGGAAUUACUGGGCGUAAAGGGCCAGUAGGCGGCCAACUAAGUCCGACGUGAAAUCCCCAGGCUUAACCUGGGAACUGCGUCGGAUACUGGAUGGCUUGAAUCCGGGAGAGGGAUGCAGAAUUCCAGGUGUAGCGGUGAAAUGCGUAGAUAUCUGGAGGAACACCGGUGGUGUAGACGGCUUUCUGGACCGUAACUGACGCUGAGACACGAAAGCGUGGGUAGCAAACAGG